UAAUGAGUUACCACAACUCCCAAACCCAUUGUGAACCUACCCUUCACGUUGCUUCGGCGGGUCGGGCGCUGUGCCGCCCCUCCGGGCGACCCGGGGCUCCCCAAAGGCCCCGGGCCCGCCGCCCGCCGGAGGUACGCAAACUCUUGUUCAUUGUACGGCCUCUCUGAGUGAAGUACUGAAUAAGUCA